rnacentral:tRNA from 1 species
GCGGGUGUAAUUCAAUGGUAGAAUGGCAGCUUCCCAAGCUGCAUACGGCGGUUCGAUCCCGCUCACCCGCUCCA